rnacentral:rRNA from 1 species
ACGCAGCGACGCCGCGUGGGCGAGGAAGGCCUUCGGGUCGUAAAGCCCUUUUCUGGGGGAAGAAGGACUGACGGUACCCCAGGAAGAAGCCCCGGCUAAUCUACGUGCCAGCAGCCGCGGUAAGACGUAGGGGGCGAGCGUUGUCCGGAUUUACUGGGCGUAAAGGGCGCGUAGGCGGCUGGCCGCGUCGACGGUGAAAGCCCCGGGCUCAACCCGGGGAGGUCCGUCGAGACGGGCGAGCUAGAGGGCAGGAGAGGCCGGUGGAAUUCCCGGUGGAGUGGUGAAAUGCGUAGAGAUCGGGAGGAACACCAGAGGCGAAGGCGGCCGGCUGGACUGACCCUGACGCUGAGGUGCGAAAGCGUGGGGAGCGAACUGAAUUAGAUACUCAGGUAGUCCACGCCCUAAACGAUGGAUGCUAGGUGUCGGGGGUAUCGACCCCCUCGGUGCCGGAGCUAACGCGCGAAGCAUCCCGCCUGGGGAGUACGGCCCGCAAGGCGUUAAAACUUCCAAAGGUAACUCUGACGGGGGCCCGCACAAGCAGCGGAGCGUUGUGGUUUAAUUCUGACGCAACGCGCAGAACCUUACCAAGGCUUGACAUGACCACGCACGGCUUGGUGAAAGCCAGCGUCCCUUCGGGGCGGGGUCACAGAUGCUGCAUGGCUGUCGUCAGCUCGUGCCGUGAGGUGUUGGGUUAAGUCCCGCAACGAGCGCAACCCUCGUCGCUAGUUAGAAGGUCUAGCGAGACUGCCGACCGCAAGUCGGAGGAAGGUGGGGAUGACGUCAAGUCAGCACGGCUCUGACGCCUUGGGCUACACACACGCUACAAUGGGCGGGACAAUGGGAUGCGACGGAGCGAUCCGGAGCCAAUCCCCAAACCCGCUCUCAGUGCAGAUUGCAGGCUGCAACCCGCCUGCAUGAAGACGGAGUUGCUAGUAACCGCGGGUCAGCACACCGCGGUGAAUACGUUCCCGGGCCUUGUACACACCGCCCGUCACGUCACGAAAGCCGGCAACACCUGAAGUCGCUGGGCCAACUCGCGGAAGCGAGAGGCAGGCGCCGAGGGUGGGC